CGCGUCUGAUUAGCUAGUUGGCGGGGUAACGGCCCACCAAGGCGACGAUCAGUAGCCGGACUGAGAGGUUGAACGGCCACAUUGGGACUGAGACACGGCCCAGACUCCUACGGGAGGCAGCAGUGGGGAAUAUUGCGCAAUGGGGGAAACCCUGACGCAGCAACGCCGCGUGAUUGAAGAAGGCCUUCGGGUUGUAAAGAUCUUUAAUUCGGGACGAAAAAAAUGACGGUACCGAAAGAAUAAGCUCCGGCUAACUACGUGCCAGCAGCCGCGGUAAUACGUAGGGAGCAAGCGUUAUCCGGAUUUACUGGGUGUAAAGGGCGCGCAGGCGGGCUUGCAAGUUGGGAGUGAAAUCCCGGGGCUCAACCCCGGAACUGCUUUCAAAACUGUGAGUCUUGAGUGAUGGAGAGGCAGGCGGAAUUCCCAGUGUAGCGGUGAAAUGCGUAGAUAUUGGGAGGAACACCAGUGGCGAAGGCGACUUACU
rnacentral:rRNA from 1 species